GCCAGCAGUGAUUGCACGUUGAAUGCAGUAGUUUCCGAUGAAUCAUUGAAGAUAAGCAACGUUGCGCGUGAGUGGUAUCCGGGUGGGUGACCAUCUGGGCAAUUGCGUGCUGGCU
rfam:Asian citrus Psyllid, Diaphorina citri - Florida Strain, whole genome shotgun sequence.